ensembl:rRNA 5S_rRNA 5S ribosomal RNA
AUCUAUGGCCAUGCCACCCUGAAAUGUGCCUAAUCUAUCUCGUCUAAUCUUGGAAGCUAAGCAGGGUUGGGCCUGGUUAGUACUUGGAUGGGAGACCACCUAGGAAGAACAGGUACUGUAGGCA